rnacentral:rRNA from 1 species
AUACGGAGGGUGCAAGCGUUAUUCGGAAUCACUGGGCGUAAAGGACGCGUAGGCGGGUUGGCAAGUCAGAUGUGAAAUCCUACAGCUUAACUGUAGAACUGCAUUUGAAACUGGCAACCUAGAGUAUGGGAGGGGGAGAUGGAAUUAGUGGUGUAGGGGUAAAAUCCGUAGAUAUCACUAGGAAUACCGAAAGCGAAGGCGAUCUCCUGGAACAUAACUGACGCUAAGGCGUGAAAGCGUGGGGAGCAAACGGGAUUAGAAACCCUAGUAGUCC